UGUAAGAGUGGAAUAGCUAGGGGAACGAAUGGAAAUGAAUUAAGUCUUGGAUGUGAAAAGAUAAGCUCUGAAAUGAAAAGAAGCCAAAGGCUCAAGUGAUCUGAAACGAAAAUGAAAGAAGCUAUGUGCUAUGAAAGAAAAGAGCUGUGUGAAUAAGUGAAAACCAAGGCUUGAAAAUAAAAGAAAAGGGCCCCUAGUGAAAAGAAAAC
rnacentral:lncRNA from 1 species